UACGUAGGUGGCAAGCGUUGUCCGGAUUUACUGGGCGUAAAGGGCGCGUAGGCGGCCUGCUAAGUCGGACGUGAAAUCCCUCGGCUCAACCGAGGAACUGCGUCCGAUACUGGUGGGCUUGAAUCCGGGAGAGGGAUGUGGAAUUCCCGGUGUAGCGGUGAAAUGUGUAGAGAUCGGGAGGAACACCGGUGGCGAAGGCGGGUCUCUGGGCAAUUCCUGACGCUGAGGCGCGAAAGCGUGGGGAGCAAACGGG
rnacentral:rRNA from 1 species